rnacentral:rRNA from 1 species
UGUACCGGUUGUAACGCCAGUGGCACCGCCGGGUAGCUAUGUCUGGAUUGGAUAAGCGCUGAAAGCAUCUAAGUGCGAAGCCGGCCCCAAGAUGAGACUUCGUCACAGGGUGGUCGAAGACUACGACCUCGAUAGGCCGCAGGUGUAAAGGCAGCGAUGUCAAAGCCGAGCGGUACUAAUUACCCGAAGACUUUCCGUA